rnacentral:rRNA from 1 species
UUUAGUAAUUGCGAAUGAACAAGGAUAUGCUUAGCUUGACAAAUGGAGCUAUUGGCUUUGAAUUGUAUUGUGGAAAUGUAUUACCAACAGAGGUGCAGGUGCCAGCCUAUUGAAAUAAAGCGUCAAUGAGGGUGAGAAUCCUGUUUGUCAUGUGCAGCCCUUUGUGCACGGUGUAUAUUUGCUGAGUCACACUCCUUGGGCAUUGGAAUGCAAAGUGGGUGGUAAGUUUCAUGUAAAGGUAAACAUGCAAUUGAGACUGAUAGCACACAAGUACCAUGAGGGAAAUAUGAAAAGGACUUUGAAAAGAGAAUUAAAUGAGUUUGUAUUUGCUGAACACAAAGUAAACAGACUUGAUUUGCUUGGUGGGAGUGUUGCACUUGCUUGACAAGAGCUUUGGGCUGUGGGUGUAAUGAUUCUUUCUUUGCAUGCCAGUUUCUAUUUGUACAUCUGAUUACCUUUGCACAUGAAUGAUAAGUCUCCUGUGGGGGGUGGAUUGCAUGUGCAUGUAAUGAUUUGUGUUUUGAUAAAUGUGUCUGGUGUAUGUGUGUGUUCCUGUGCUUGGGGAUGCUUCCUUCCUUGGACUUACAAGCCCUGACACACACAUGCUGGCAAAAUGCUUCUGCUUGACCCGUCUUGAAACACGGACCAAGGAGUCUAACAGAUGUGCAAAGUUUGAAGGUGGUAUACCUUUGUGUGCAAUGAAAGUGUCAGCUGGGAUAUGUGCACCAGCACCCAAUUAAUUAGCGGACAGAGGUUUGAGUUGGAGCAUAUCUAUUAGGACCCGAAAGAUGGUGAACUAUGCCUGAACAGAAUGAAUUCAGAGGAAACUCUGAUGGAGGUUCGUAUCGAUACUGACGUGCAAAUCGUUCGUCAUAUUUGGGUAUAGGGGCGAAAGACUAAUCGAACCAUCUAGUAGCUGGUUCCCUCCGAAGUUUCCCUCAGGAUAGCUGGAGUUGCUCAGUUUUAUCAGGUAAAGCGAAUGAUUAGAGGAAUUGGGGACAGGUUUGU